UUGAACACACAGAGAUCCAAUUGCCUCUGCUUUCCAAGUGUUGGAAUUAAAGAUGUGUGCCACUACUACCCAGCUUAGAAUGGAAAAAAAUUUUAGAUCCCUUUUGGGGCUCUGGUUUGCAGGUACCAAAUGUGUGUGUGUGUGUGUGUGUGUGUGUGUGUGUGUGUGAGAGAGAGAGAGAGAGAGAGAGAGAGAGAGAGAGAGAGAGAGAGAGAGAGAGAGAGAUCUUUAGGUCAUUAAAAAAUAUCUAACUACAAAAUAUUAUCACUAUCAUUUAGUUUGUCCUCAAAUUCUCUAAAUGCACUGAUACAGACUCCAUUUGCAGACAGAGGCUUUUUUGGUUCUGAACCAUGUACCAUGCAUGCACCAUGAUGCAUUAUGCUAUUCACUUCCAUUUCUAAGUAAGCUAUUCAGGAGGAAAGCCCACUGGGAGGUGAUUGGUCGCCAGAACAAACCCUCAAAGUGAGCAGUGAGAACAGGAUGGCUGAAAGAGGACAGGAGCCAAGAGGAAAGGGCCUGUGGCUGAGAGCUAAAAGUAUUCCACGCUCCUUGGAAGGAAGAAGUCUUUGCCCCUCUGUCUCCUACUCCUCCUCUUCUUCUUCUUCAAGAUUCAUCUUUAUUUUUAAUUAUGUGUUUAUGGAGGGGGUGAACACAUGACUUCAGGUGCCUAUGGAAGCAAAAAUGGGGGUCAGACCCUAUAAAGGUGGAGUUAUGGCGUAAGUGCUGGCAAUCAAACUCAGGUCCUCUAGAAGAGCAGCAAUUGUUCUUAACCACUGAGCCAUCCCUCCAGCCCAUACAAAGAGUCCAGUUUACAUGUCUCAUCAAUUCAGCUGAAAGAUGGAUGCCAAUCUGAGCAAAUGAAGCUCUUUUCACAAAAAGAAACACAGGGAGAAAAACCAAUAAUAAUGAGGAAGAGGAGGAUAAUGAUAAUAAUAAUAUAAUUCCGGGCGUGGUGGCGCUCACCUUUAAUCCCAGCACUCAGGAGGCAGAGGCAGGUGGAUCUUGGUGAGUUCGAGGUCAGCCUGGUCUACAAAGUGAGUUUCAGGACAGCCAGGGCUCUGUUACACAGAGAAACCCUGUCUUGAAAAAAAAAAAAGAAAGGAAGGGAGGAAGAAGGUAGGAGAGAGCGAGGGAGGGAGAGUGAAAGAGAGAGACAGAGACAGAGAGACAGAGAGAGACAGACAAGAAAGAGAAAGGAAUGCAGGCUCAGAAAGGCAAGGCAGACCAUGGCUGUGGAGUCCCUGAGAGCCCAGGCUUUGAGAUUCCACAGUCCCUGUCAAGUCUUGAUUCUGUCAGUUAUUAUCUGUGCAUCUAUGGAUGCAUUGCUUAAUCACUCUGAGCUCAGUGGAAACUGUACAGAUAAUAAUUAUAAAGAUAAUAACCAUACCUACUUUAUAACCUGUUGUGAACACAUGUCUAGGGCAUUGUGCCAACAGGAGUAUCGCUCAAUAAAUAGCUUCUAUUGUUGUCAAUAGAGGUUCUUAGAGAAUUGGACCUCAUUCAUGUGUAAGAAUUGUUUCAAUAGGCUUUUUCGUUUUGGAAUGAUUUUAAUCUACAGAAAAAUUACAAAGGUAAUUCGGAGUUCCCAUAUGCCCUUUUAAAAAUGUUAAUGUAGCAUUACCAUGAUUCAUCUGUCAUAACAAAAAGCCAGCCUUGGUACAUUAUUAUUGGCUAAGCUCAUUUUACUCAGGAUACAAUCUUAAAGUAUUCAUUUCAUUUAAAAUAAUUUUUAAAAUUAGCACAACAAUCAACAUCAUUGCUCAAUUAGUGUUCCUGUUGGCAAGAUCCUAACACACCUUUCAGAAACACAUGUAAGUUAUUGAGAAUCACUUACUCUCUUAAGAAGCUUUUUACAAAAAUAUAAGGGACUGGAGAGAUGGCUCCGCAGUUACGAGCACUUGUUGCUCUUAUAGAGGACCCAGGUUCAGUUCCCGGUACCCACACGGGAGUUCACAACCAUCUUUAACUCCAGUUCCAAGGAAUCUUAUAUUCUCCUCUGACUUCCAUGUGCCAUGAAAACAAAAAUUAACUGAAACAAAUGUGUUGAUCUCUUAAUUGGCAGAACAAAUCCUUUUUGCAUAGUUAAUGAAAUAGAUACUGGCCAGAAUCUGCUUGCAUUAUCACAGUAUUAAUUUGUUCGGAUUUGGCCCAGCAAAAUGGCUCAGCAGCUUAAAGCAUUUGCUGCCUCUCAUGUGUAUUAUCCCAACUCCCACAAGCUGUCCUCUAGCUGCUGUACAUGUGCCAUAGCAGGUGCGUGUCUGCACACACAUGUGUACACACACACACACACACACACACACACACACACACACACACACAAAUUCAUAAAUGUAAGUGUGGUAUUUGAUAAAUGUUCUCCCAUGGGCCUAUAUAUCUGAUUACUUGGCCUCCAAUUGUUGGUGCUAUUUGGGAAGGUUAUGGAGCCUUUAAGGUGUGAGCCUAACCGGAGGAAGUGUGUCACCGAUGUUAGGCUUUGAAAUGUAUAAUCUCAUCCCCACUCCUUGGGUCCUGUGCGUUCUCUCUCUCUCUCUCUCUCUCUCUCUCUCUCUCUCUCUCUCUCUCUCUCUCUCUCUCUCUCCUUCUCCCCUUCCUGUUCCAGCCACUAUGCCAUACCCUCCCACCAUGAGGAUUCUGUCCCUCUGGAACAAUUAAGCUUCUCUCCCUUAAGUUGCUUUUGGUCAUGCUAUUUUUAUCACAGCAACAGAAAAAUAACUAUACAGUGACAAAAAACUGGAAGUCAUAAAGUUCGACUUUGCAUAACCUCCUGCAAAGUGACACAGUGUGUGACACAUAGUAGGUAUUCAAAAAGUGUACACUGCUCAGCUGAAUGUGAAAGUGCACUCGUGCCUCCUAAUGGCUUGAACUGCUUACAAGCAGUUGAGUUUCCCACGGAGUGGGCCUUGUUUUGAAUGAUCUCUUCUUGGAGCUUAACUCUGCCUCUGCGCACAGAACCUGUUUGUACAAGACUAGACAGAAUCUGAGCAAAUAAGAUUUACUGUUUGGAGAACCACACAUUUCACUGCUAUCUUUCAUGCACCAAGGCUUAUCCCUUGGAGGGAAAUUGAUUCUGAUGUUGAAAAUAAAUGUUUUCCUUUCAUCUCUAAAGAAAAAGAAAUAUUCACGUGUACAAAUUCAAUUUCUGGGAAGCUGCAGUAGUUGCUGUUUUUAAUAAAAAGUAUUAACCACAGCUGAUGAGAAUCACCAUGGCCAUGGUGGCAAUGAGAAAGAGAUGGUAAAAGGCUCCAGCUUACCAUGAGAUUGCGGGUGUGACCAUGUGGGUCUGCAGCCAUCCUGCUGGGACCUCAGGGCUACGUUAUCACAACACAGAUAUGGCAAGAGUAUGCGUUCCUUCACCCAUGUUGAAUCAGCAUUGCAGCUGAGUAAUUUAGGUGACCAGUCAUUUCUUCUACUUAAAGCACAUAUCAGGCAACAGUCAUAGAUCACUACCACUGAAAGUCCCACCAUGGAUCACAUAUUCACCUGGAAGCUUAUUAGAACCGAAGAAUUUGGAGGCAGAGACUGUAGCUCAGUUGGGAGAAUGUUUGCCUAGAAUGCAUGAAGUCUUGGGCUCAGUCCCCAGCACCACAUAAAAAAAAAACUAGAUGUGCAGAUGUUCACCUAUAAUCCAGCAUUUGGUCAGUGGGAGCAGGAGGAUCAGAAGUUCAAGAUCAUCCUUGGCUGCGUAGCAAACUGGAGUCCAACCUGGGAUCCAUGAGAUUGUCUCAAAAAUGCACAAAAAGUAGGAAACAAAGAAAUCUUUACAGACAGUCUCAAAUCAGUCAGGCCAAGUACUGGGUAGACUGCUGAACCAUGUACAUGAGAUCUAACUGUUCUGCCUCUGCCUCUUCCUCUGUGAACUUGAGAUUAUAAAAAUAAUGACCUGUGUAGCGGUACUUUUUUGUCAGGACCACCAGUUUGCAAAUAAUGAAAUAAAGACUUUUUAUUAAUUAUGAAAUCUUGGCCAUUAGCCUAGGCUUGUUCUCAAUAAGCUCUUAUAACUUAAAUUAACCCAUUUAUAUUGAUCUAUUUUCUGUCACGUGGCUUGGUUAUCUUUACUCUGUACUGUAUGUCUGACCUCUUCAGUGUCUCCCUGGCAUCUCCAUACUGCCCAUCCUGCUUCCUCCAUAUCUGGCUGGCAACCUUACCCUUCUUCUUCCCAGAGUUCUCUCUCUGCCCAGAAGUCCCACCUAUACCUCCUGCCUAGCUAUUGGUCAUUUAGCUUUCUAUUACACCAAUCACACCAAUACAUCUUCGCACAGUAUACAGACACCCCAUGCCUCCAGUGGUCACUGGGAUACUGCAGUGUUUCUGAUGACCACUGCCUGGUUGUAGCCACCAGCUCUCAUAUACUGUUUGCUGGAAACUAAAAACGUGCCUGGUGGCAGAGGAUCCAGAGGAGCAGAGAGCAGCCAGCAUAUGAUAGAAACUGAAAUAAGUCGAUUAAAAGAGAAGAAACAUAAGCAAACACUUGUACAGCACGUAAGGACAUAGAUGUCCCAAAACAAGUACAUUUGAGAACUCUGUCCCCUGGCUAUUCUAGGUCCUGGACGCCACACAAUCCCUGUCUGAAGGUCACUGGAGUCAAAAGACUCUCUAAGGCCAUGAAUUCCUACAGAAAUUUCUGAUUAUGAAGGAAAUGAAGUGUGAAUUUGAACACAGGAGUGCUUUUAAGAACUUGAAAUUAGUUGUGUACUCAAAACUGCUAAAAGAUUUCUAAAUACGCAGAGGAGUCCAGCUAUUCCAGGUAUCAAGCCGGCAAGGCAGCUGUGCCAACAGAAGUCAUGCACAUAUAUCUGAGGGCAAAGGUCAUCUCUUCUGUUUUUGUCUAGUUACCGAUUGGCCAAGACUUCCAAAAUUUCAGGCUCCUUUCGUUAGACUGAGAGCUACUUUAUUUUAUUAUUAUUAGUCUUUUUUUUUUUAACUUUUUUAAUGAACUUUUGACCCCAAUUGUUUUUCCAGUGUUCAGUCAUUUAGUGGAAGGCCAUUAACAACUGGCUAAAAACACACGUGUGCACAUACACUCAUAUAUUGCAUUUCCAAGCCAAUUGAAUUACAGAAGGAACCAAUUUGAAAAGUUAUUGAAUUAAACCCUAGAAGAGAGAGAUGAGUUUUAUUGUUAAUGGUUGGCAUGGCAACUUGCCUUGCUGGAGAGUGAGAUGUGCUGAGUUCUCCUAGUUGGAGACUCUGACAUGCUCAAGGCCAGGGCUCUGCCUCUGCAUCUUGUUGCCAAGGUAAUGCCGCCUAGGCCAGAAUCCACUGAAAGGAAUACCUCUGACAUCUCAUGCCAGCAGGAGCUAUCUGAUUAAAAGAGAGCUUUAAAAAGAAAAAGAAACAGAAUUUUUGCAAAGCCCAGAGGAGAACGCAAAGGCAGGAUACUGAAAAAAUGAUCAGCAGGAAAUCUAAAGGGAAGCAGCCGAUGGGUGCCAAGAAGUAACUAAAUAACAGGGUUGUUUUAUGAGCUAGAGGUCGUGGUGUGUGAAGGCCCUCGGGCAGGAAUUCCAGCCUGCCAGGCCAUUUUGCAUGUGAAAUGAUACUGUCCUAAUUUGCCUCCAUGGCUCAAGUUCAGCAGAAUAAUAUCUCGUGAGCCCUAGCCACGGUCCCACCCCCAUCCAUCCACAGCAGACUUUAAUUUGACAGAUUUUCUUCUCUGAUAAAAUACUAAGGAAAAUGGAUCCUAAGGGACUUCAUAGGUUACAUAUAUUUUAAGACGAAAAGGGAAUCCACAAGAAUUUCAGCCCAGAGGCCACCUAAAUGUCACUGCCUGGGAGCCUCUAGAACGGCCUUUUGGGUGUCUGUCGUAUUUGUGUCUCGGUGAUUUGUGAUCCUGAUUCACAGGAUAAUAAUAUCCUUAGGUUCGUGGUCUAAUGGGGUCCUCAUUUUCCUAGUUUCACGUGCCAGUUUAUCUUGGAUUUGUUCAUGAUGAAACUAUGGUCCUUGAAGGUUCUUUUGCUCUAAGAUUGGAGAAGGACAAGUCCUCAAAUGCAUGAUCAUCUUUCCCUGAGGGAUCUGAUCCAGGGUCCGCAGGAGAAACUCCCCCUUACACUUCCAGGGACUUAAUGGCAAUAAUCAAUAAACAGAGAUUUGUGGACAGAAAGAUAAAGGAUGGAAUCUGAAAAGAAUUCAAAAUCCCAAACCAGCAGUUCCAAUCUAAUGCGCUCAGCAUUCAAUCAAACCAUUAUUUCAUGAACAAAUAAGGAGGGGAAUCCACAAUAUUUAUCUUGGCCUAUACAAGUUAUUUACAGUAUAUAAACUAUGAAGGAAAGGUAUUACCUUUGUAAUUACAGUGGUUCCUUACGAUUAGCAAGGGAUGCCCUCUGGGUACCAAAGUCUGCAGGUGCUCAAGCCUAGUGUAUACAAUUGCAUAAUAUUUGCAUAUAAACUACACACAUCUUCCAUAUACUUUAAAUCAUCUUUGGAUUACCUAUUAUACCUAAUGCAAUAUAAGGAGCUAUAAGACAAUCUAAGUAGCUAAGUAUACUGUACUUUUUCAAGGAAUGACAAGAAAAGAAGUCUAUGUGUGCUGAGUACAGAAAUCAAUUUGGUUGCUUUUUAAACUUUUUUUUUCUGACUAUAACAACAACAUUCCAACUCCUGUCUCUGCAAAUGAUUUGCUAAGUGAAAUUUGGCCAAGUUAUUUAAUGUGUUUGGUCCCUGAUUUUUGGGAGGUUGUUGUUGUUGUUUUGUGGGUGGGUCUUGUUUCAUUUUGAAGUUUCAAUAUGCUGCAUGGGCUGCUAAACCAACUUUUCUGCCUCCGCCUGCUGAGUAGCUGGGACUACAAGUACUCAUCACUAUGCCCAACUGGUUUGAUACAUCUUUUAAACAAAUAAGGCAUGCCCGCUUUCAUCCAAGUGGGGCACUUCUCUUCCUAGAAUGAACCGCCAAAGCAUGGAGGGAACUUCAAACAAAUUCAGAGCCUCUGGCCUCACCCUAAUCUCUACCAAGCCAGUGUGCGCUUUCAAAAGCUGUACAUGUGAUGCUGGUUUGCAGCUUUGUUUGAGUAUCACCAAAGAUUAAGGUAGCUUAUAAAGAUGAUCUGGCUUAUAUAUGUGAGUUGUCAUAGGCUCAUUAAUCAAUCAAAAUGGGGUACAGUUAAGCCCAGCUUAUAUUUUUUUUUUCAGUUUUAUCUUAAACAUGUAAACAGAACAAGGAUAUCUGGAAUGUGGGGAAGCUGGAAUGCAUAAAGUGGUUAUAUUUCCCACUACCACGUCAAGCCUUCAGUGAGCCUAAACUUUGAAUGAAAAGCUCUUUGAAGUGACUGUCUUUGUUCAUGGUUUGCGAUAUUCCCUUCAGCCUUCAUUGAUCCAGACAGAAUGAUAAUGAUAUUUACCUAAUGCUCACUGGUGCUUACUGUAAGUGCUCUGGAAGCUUAGCUCAUUUGAUCUUACUUCCUCGAAUACAAGCCUGCAGAGAGAUGAUGGGAUUGGAGGUGAACUUUGAACCUAAGAGACCCAGUCUUAAUGCCACUCAAGACUGUUUGGUGGGUCAGAUGUUUCCAGUGAAUAGCCUGACAUUUUCUUGUCCUUAGGUGGCUUCUUCUAUCUGUGAUGUGUAUGCACACACUCAGGGGCCAGAGUUGAUACCAAGAGUCUUCCUCAAUAAUUUUUCCAUCUUAUUUUCUGAGACAGGAUCCGUCACUAAACCUGGGCCUCACUCUUGUAUCUAGAAUGGCUGGCCAGCAAGUCUGCAGGAUCCUGUCUCCACCUUCCCACAUUAGGAUUCCAUUGCUGCACCUGGUGUUUGUUUGUCUUUCUUUUUCUUCCUUUCUUUCUUUUCUUUCUUUCUUUACUAAGACAGUGUCUCACUGUGUAGCUCUGCCUGGCCUGGAACUUGCUAUGUGGACUAGGUUGGUCUGGAACUCACAGAAAUCCUAGUACCAUGCACCACUGCACCUAGUUUUUUGGUGUUUGUUUUUUUUUAUUGUUUUCUUCUAUUUUUGAGACUAUAAUUACAUCAUUUCCCUCUUCCUUUUCCUCCCUUCAGUCCAAACCCUUACGUAUAUCCCUUCUUGACCUCUUUCAAACUCAUGUCCUCUUUUUUCAUUAAUUGUUGUUAUGUACGCAUGCAUGAAUGUGCAUGCGUGUGUGUGUGUGUGUGUGUGUGUGUGUGUGUGUGUGUGUGUGUGUGUGUGGUGUGUGUUCUUACAUAUUCCUAACUAUAUGCAUACAACCUGCUCUGACUGCCUAAACAUGAACUGAACAAGGACAAUACUAAUAGACAUGCUGGCAUGGAUGGGGACAGCUCAUGAGGUCUCAGCUACAAAGAACUAAGGAAGGCUGAGAGUGGGAGAAACAGUCUUCCCCAGGGAAGAGCACACCAGUUGGUUACCCAAUACCAAAUGGUCAGCCCAAAAAAAUAUAUACACACACCUGGCUUUUUACACGGCUCCUAGGGCUCUGAAUUCGUCUUUACGUUUGUAUGGCAAACACUUCACUAAGUCUUUCCCUAGUCCAGAUCAUUACUUCUCAAAGUGUGUACCUGAGGUGCAGGGUUCAAAGACCACUCCCAGUCCACUCCUAUCGGAAUCUCAUGGUGCAAGUGGGCACUGGGGACAGACAUUUAGAAAUACACUCCUCGGGUGACUCUUGAGUCCCAGAAGUUUAAGAACCACUGGCCCGGAUCAUUGUUUGUAGGUCACUAACAUUAGGAACAUUGAAGAAUAUAUUAAGGGCUGUGGGAACCAAAAUCGUUUGCCAGGAUCCAUCCUCAGAUUCUGCCUGGGGCAGAGAAUCAGUCCAGAAGUUCCUAGAUGGGCUGUACAAAGUACCGGCUCUACCCAGGAGGUCUACUGUCUUGUACAAAGACAGCGUGGUUUUUCAGGGUCCAGACCCCAUUGCCAGACUCAAGGACAGUACUCUUGAUUAAAAGAGGAAGGGCUAGUACUGGCUUGGAACUUUGAUGUUGUCCUUUUCACUAUCCAAAUACCACAGAGACUCUGUGUCCCAGUCCCAGAAGGGCAGAGGCGGAGCAGGCCUUUUGGAAUGCAGUCUGCCACCCCCCCUUCCCCUGGGGCCUUGUAUUGAGCUGAUCUUGCAAACUCUCUGAGAGUUCACCGGGUGUCUGUUUCAAAUGGGAGAUUAAAAGGAGGCCAAGAAGGUGCUGGGAAUCAAGCCCAUGACCUCGAAAAAGCAGCCAAUGGGUCAGAUGCUGGACAUCAACUUCUUAGAAAAGACAAUCACUCCUGAAAUUCAAACUAAUACCCACUGAAAGAGGAAGGAACCCGGGCCAACCCGGGUCAACGUGAUCCUUUGACGGGAAAAGGCGUUUGUGGCCAAGCCUGAAGACCCAAGUUCAAUCCUCAGGACCCACAAGAUAGAAGGAGAGAACCAGCUCCUGCAAGUUGUCCUCUGGCCUCCACAGUUUGUUGGAAUGCUGUGAAAGCCUCGAUGAGUUCUCACUCUUACCCUUGGUCUCAUUGGCCACUCCUGGAUAUGAGAAAACAGUUUGGCAUCAAGCCUUCCCGGAACGUCUUCAAAAAGAAUUACUGGGCGAUGUUUUGGAAAGACUGAUAAACGACGCCAUGCUGGUGGGUCAGCACCUUGGCUGACUGUGUGGCUCAGGCUCUUCGAAGGAGUCACAAGGAUCCUAACAGAGAAAGGCUAAGCAGGCCGGAGAGCUUAGGGUUACUAGCUCUUGGCUUCUGAGUGUCUGUUCAAAGCAAAUAACAAAAAGAAAAGAAAAUGUUCUGGAUAUGUUUAAAAUUUUUUUGAAAAAUCAAUGACUCAUUUGUUACAGAGUAACAAAGUACGAAAUAAAAGACACUUCAUAAAAAUUGCAUUCAAACACUGUGGUGGAACUCUGAGUGAACUUUGUGCUGAGGGUACGUGAUUUUGGAGCAAGACCUGGUAGGGUUAGGGGUCCCGUCUCUGGAAAAGCAUUUGAUCUAUGGCAUGCAAGAAUGUCUCUGCAAGCCCUGCCACUAACAGAAUGAAUUGCUCACUUGAGAGACGACUUUUUCUCUGUCAAAUGGAUCCAAUCUAAAAUAUGACUAAUUGUUUUAAGCAGAAAAUUAUCUCUGGCUGUUAUAUGCAAAUUAUGCAAUACCACAGCCUGAAAAUUAGGAG